rnacentral:rRNA from 1 species
UACGUAGGGUGCGAGCGUUGUCCGGAAUUAUUGGGCGUAAAGGGCUCGUAGGCGGUCUGUCACGUCGAAAGUGAAAACUCAGGGCUCAACCCUGAGCCUGCUUCCGAUACGGGCAGACUAGAGGUAUGCAGGGGAGAAUGGAAUUCCUGGUGUAGCGGUGAAAUGCGCAGAUAUCAGGAGGAACACCGGUGGCGAAGGCGGGUCUCUGGGCCGAUACUGACGCUGAGACGCGAAAGCGUGGGGAGCGAACAGG